GUUUUAAUAGUUUAUAUAAAAAUAUUGAUUUUGUAAAUCAAUGAAAAGAAAAUCUCUUUUAAAACU
rnacentral:tRNA from 1 species